AUAAAAUCUGACAGCUGCACAUUGUCAGGCAAGCCUCUGGAUAGCCUUCUUUGGGUACCAAGUAGUCCCGGCUCAAAGGACUAAAGUUUCCGGCAGUUUCCCUCUUCCAGCCUCUGGGGGAUCGGGCUUGCUCUAUUCUUCCACCCUCCAGGCCUGAAAUGCUCAGACUUGUCAGGCUGCCCUUUCCCCUCCCUGCUCUCACCUCUUGGUCAGAGCAUAAUGAAGCCUUUGCUCCCAAAUCCAUUACUCUGCCUUUGUUCUCCAGGCCUCAGAAAUAGCCUUGGGACAGAGCUGUCUUCUCCAAGCCAAGUCAAAGAACCUCCAUGUGAGCUUCGGAAUUCAACCUCAGCACAACUCCUUCAGAUCUUGGAUCUCAUCGGAUCAUUUCUCUGCCGCCUGCCUGAGGGAUCGAACUCAGGACCUUGAGCUUGCGAGGCAGGCGCCGGAACCACUGAGCUAAAUCCCCAGCCCUGUGUAUGUAAUUCUUAUAUCAUGUUCAACUCUAUGCUAAUAAAUUUCAAAAUCUGCUUAUUUUCUAAGAUAGACUUCCACAAUUGAAACCAGAAAUGGAAAAAUAACUACAGCAAUAACAACAAAAUAAAAAUCAAACAUCUAGUUCUCAAAAAAAGGCUCCAGAACUUGAUAGAUUUCAGUUUCUCAAGGAUGAAAAUUUGUAACUUCUAUAACUAUCUUAGAGCAUGAUUUAGAAAUGCAAAGUACUCCACUCAUGUUGUAGUCCUUCUCUACACCUUCUUUUCUCCCUCUUUAAUCAUU
rnacentral:lncRNA from 1 species